GACGCCCCGGGGCAGGGGCGGGAGUGGUGGAGCGUUGGCGGCUGGCUCUGAAAGGCGCGGUGCGCGAGCUUCCUAGGGCUUGAGGCAAAGCUUGGCCUCCUUUCGAGCCGAGACGGGGCGCGGGGGCCGGCGGCGACGGCGGCGGCGGCCCUCGGGCCGGCUGGUGACAGGAUGGCGGCGCCAGGCCCGGGGACUGGGACAUCCUCGGGUGGCGCGGGCUGUGGCGGUGCGGGCGCGGGCUCCGGGGCCGGGGCGUCUGGGGGACCCGGGGGCCGACUGCCCAGCCGGGUGCUGGAGUUGGUGUUCUCCUACCUGGAGCUGUCGGAGCUACGGAGCUGCGCGCUGGUGUGCAAGCACUGGUACCGCUGCCUGCACGGCGACGAGAACAGCGAGGUGUGGCGGAGCUUGUGCGCCCGCAGCCUGGCCGAGGAGGCUCUGCGCACGGACAUCCUCUGCAACCUGCCCAGCUACAAGGCCAAGGUACGUGCUUUCCAACAUGCCUUCAGCACUAAUGACUGCUCCAGGAAUGUCUAUAUUAAGAAGAAUGGCUUUACCUUACAUCGAAAUCCCAUCGCUCAGAGCACUGAUGGUGCAAGGACCAAGAUCGGUUUCAGUGAGGGCCGCCAUGCAUGGGAAGUGUGGUGGGAGGGCCCUUUAGGCACCGUGGCAGUGAUUGGAAUUGCCACGAAGCGGGCCCCCAUGCAGUGCCAAGGUUAUGUGGCAUUGUUGGGCAGUGACGACCAGAGUUGGGGCUGGAAUCUGGUGGACAAUAAUUUACUACAUAAUGGGGAAGUCAAUGGCAGUUUCCCACAGUGCAACAAUGCUCCAAAAUACCAGAUAGGAGAGAGAAUCCGAGUCAUCUUGGAUAUGGAGGAUAAGACUUUAGCUUUUGAACGUGGAUACGAGUUCCUGGGGGUGGCCUUUCGAGGACUUCCAAAGGUCUGCUUAUAUCCAGCAGUUUCUGCUGUAUAUGGCAACACAGAGGUGACUUUGGUUUACCUUGGAAAACCUUUGGAUGGAUGAUAGUGGCUUUCUUGGAAUCAGAGACAAUGGAGAAGAAAUCUACUUGUGGAAAUUAGAAUCAUGAAGUGACAGUGUCAUAUGUGCAUGCCCAAGAAAACAUCCUGAAAAACAUGAAAGUUGUUAGCUGAAGAAGCAGCUCUACAACAGAGAUCACUUUAGUGUUUCCUCUUUCCGCUGGGCCAGGAAAAUCCUCAGGGCUGCAGUUGGUUGAGUGGGCAGUUGGCAUAUGCGUGUUGCAACAGAUUCUUGUCUCUAAGCUAGCAAUGUGUUCUUUCCAGCUUUAAGGUAAGAGUUAGGGAUGCUGUCAAAAGGAUAAGAUAAUGAAAUAACAAGAUUCUGAGGUGGUGUGCUUUUUAAAGAAGAUGGAUUGUAUCCACAAUUGCCUGCUUUUUCUCCAAUCCCCUUUCGAUACCAUUAGGAAAGUAUGAAACUGGUUGGGGUUUAUUUAAUAUUUUUAAUAUAUUGAGAAGCAUGGUCUGCCUGGACUGCACUUCUCUAACAAUGAGAAAUAAAAUUGUGCAGCUAUUUUAAAAAUUGUAUAUAUAAUACGUGUGUAAAAAAUGUAAAAAAAAAAGAAAAAGGACAAAGGGGCUGCUUUGUUCUAGUUCAUUUUCUUAAGCACUAUAUGGUACAAAAUUAGAAUAACAUUUGGGGGCAGUAGGGUAGCCACAAAAAAGAAGAUUUUAAGAUGAAAUGUGUUAUAUUGGCUUUUGUAUUAUUUUUGGCUUAAAGAUUCCCAUAGCUCUUAGUCUGUCAUCAUUGGGUUGUUCAUAUUUUUAAAAUCAAAAUUACAGUAAAUAGGGCCAGGGAAGAUAGGUCAGUGGCCUGUCUGCCUGGCAAGCGCGAGGUCUUGAGUUCGAUCCCCAGUACCCCCCCCAAAAAAAAGUUAUAGUCAAUAAUCCUCAUUCUGAAGGAAAGGUAAAUCUAUUUCUAAUUAUGUAUGUCAGUAAGGGUGUUCUAAACACAAUAGGAAAAUGUGCAUCUCUUGAUACCCAGUUUUCUUGGCCCUCUGAGAAAGUGUCUCAUAAUGGAAAAUGUCCUUACUAUGAAUGCUAGUUGAGAAUUCAUUAAUGGGUUUUUAUUUUCUAGCUUUAUAGUGCUAUAUGUAUUAUCAAAACUAAUUUCAUAUUGUUUACAUCGUGUAAAACCCUAAGCCUCUGACUCUUCACUGGGGCAAUCAAGAAAAUGUUUACGACCCAUCUGAUGAAACAGUGCCAACCUGAGUCCAGGUUAAGAAUGUUCUUAAUCUCAUUAAGGUCAUUGCUCCCACAGGACUUGAAUCCAACAUCUUGUGCUGAAAACUUCAGGUGGCAAUAUUUUGAAAGUUUAAUUGCAGAAGAGUUUGAUACUACUUCCUAUUUGAUAAGAUCUAGCUCUUCAUUAAUAUUCUUUUGAAUUAAUCCAACACACAUGAGCUGAGAUUUUUCUUUUGUUAGAAGAAAAACAAAACAUCUUUCUGUUUGAAAUUAUACAUUUUAGGCACAUAAUUGCUGCAAGCAAGAUUUUUGUACUGUUUAAAUUACUGCCAUAUGUAUAGCUUAUCUUAAAUCUAUUAAAAUUAGGAACAGCAAACAGCUUAUUCCUUGAGAAUUAAAAUUAUCAAUAUUCUUGUGAAGCAGGAGAUUUCAGCCAUAGAACAAAUACCUGUUUUUGCUGCCUGAAAGGUUUACAAGUAUUUAUUAUGUAUAUGUGGUAUGUCCUUUAAAAAGGUGAAAUUUGGGCCGGGGAGAUGGCUCAGUGGAGUAA